rnacentral:ncRNA from 1 species
AACAAAGCCAUGACCAAGAGGAGUAAAUAUUUAUCUAUUUAAAGAAAGUUAGUGGUAGAUGUAAACUAACAAUAGAGAAUAUUGAAGGUAGCUUGACCAAGCUGAUUUUCUGAAAUAGUAGUAGGAAAAUUCGUCCAAGUGCGUUAAACUAAUCAAGGUAAGUUAAACUUAUAAAUUAAGGUGGUACCACGUUCAAUACGUCCUUAAA